GGGGUCUUCCAGGAAAUCACCAACUAGGCCAAAUAAUAACAAAUUCCAUGUUAAUGGAGUUUUGAAUGAGUUCCAAUUCCAUUCUGCUCCCUCCCAUGGUUGCCAGGCGACUGGUUUUCUCCGUGAUUGCAGGCUAUUGGUUUUCAAGGCUACUGUAGUGCUGGAGAGGGAAUGUCCUCCCUCCUAAUUACCAUGGAGUGGGUUCCUUCUGCUCCCAGCUCAAUGUCAUCUCUACAGAAAGCCCUUUGCUAACCAUCCCCUGAAACAGACUCAAAAGGAUUAAGUCACCCACCUGUGGACACACGGGGUGAAGAAACAAUUUGAAUGUCCAAUGAGACAGUGGAAACUGAAUAAACAUACUGCCUAAUAACAAGUGAUGGAGGCAAAAGCGGCCUUGUUCAGCUUCUGUUUCACUUGGUAAUGACUAACGAGUAUGCUCCAUUCGUCGCUAAAGGCUUGGCUUGGUUAAUUUAAUAUCUCCCUCUAAUGAGCCUAAUAAAAAACUAGUAGGAAUAUUAUACUACAAACAUCAGGCUCUUGCCACAUCUGGCUUCUCCCAGAAGAAGAGAAUGAUAACCUCCAUCUGAAACUAUGAUUUGUGAAAUUGAAAUAGCCUCCAUUUGUUCAGCAUGUUCCCAUCUCUCUUUCUCCUGGAAGUCCAUGUUCCUUGAAAAUUGAGGUCAAUGAAUGAAUGUCAAGACAACUGCUAUAGUUAUUUUAACCUCUGCAGGAUGAGGAAGCCUUGAAGUAUUAGACUAAGGUUAUUUUGCAGACGUCGGUAACCAAUUUCCUUUUAGGCAUGAAAUCAGAGCAAAUAAAGCCAAAUUCUAGACACAAAACACUUCUGGGAUGUGUAGAUUAUCAAAAAAUAAA
rnacentral:lncRNA from 1 species